GCGGGUGUCGCCAAGCGGUAAGGCAAUAGCUUCCCAAGCUAUUAUUCGUGGGUUCGAAUCCCAUCACCCGCU
rnacentral:tRNA from 1 species